rnacentral:rRNA from 1 species
CCUACGGGAGGCUGCAGUGGGGAAUAUUGGACAAUGGGGGCAACCCUGAUCCAGCCAUGCCGCGUGUGUGAAGAAGGCCCUCGGGUUGUAAAGCACUUUCAGUGAGGAAGAACGCCUGGUGGUUAAUACCCAUCAGGAAAGACAUCACUCACAGAAGAAGCACCGGCUAACUCCGUGCCAGCAGCCGCGGUAAUACGGAGGGUGCGAGCGUUAAUCGGAAUUACUGGGCGUAAAGCGCGCGUAGGUGGCUUGAUAAGCCGGUUGUGAAAGCCCCGGGCUCAACCUGGGAACGGCAUCCGGAACUGGCAAGGUAGGGUGCAGGGGAGGAAGGGAGAAUUCCCGGGGUAGCGGGGAAAUGGGGAGAGAUCGGGAGGAAUACCAGUGGCGAAGGCGGCCUUCUGGACUGACACUGACACUGAGGUGCGAAAGCGUGGGUAGCAAACAGGAUUAGAUACCCCUGUAGU